AUAUUGGACAAUGGGCGAAAGCCUGAUCCAGCCAUGCCGCGUGUGUGAAGAAGGUCUUCGGAUUGUAAAGCACUUUAAGUUGGGAGGAAGGGUUGUCGAUUAAUACUCUGCAAUUUUUACGUUACCAACAGAAUAAGCACCGGCUAACUUCGUGCCAGUCGCCGCGGUAAUAUGAAGGGUGCAAGCGUUAAUCGGAAUUACUGGGCGUAAAGCGCGCGUAGGUGGUUCGUUAAGUUGGAUGUGAAAUCCCCGGGCUCAACCUGGGAACUGCAUCCAAAACUGGCGAGCUAGAGUAGGGCAGAGGGUGGUGGAAUUUCCUGUGUAGCGGUGAAAUGCGUAGAUAUAGGAAGGGACACCAGUGGCGAAGGCGACCACCUGGGCUAAUACUGACACUGAGGUGCGAAAGCGUGGGGAGCAAAC
rnacentral:rRNA from 1 species